rnacentral:rRNA from 1 species
CCUACGGGGGGCUGCAGUCGAGAAUCUUCGGCAAUGGGCGCAAGCCUGACCGAGCGACGCCGCGUGCGGGAUGAAGGCCCUCGGGUUGUAAACCGCUGUCAGGGGGGAUGAAAUGCGGGUGGGUUCUCCCAUCCGUUUGACAGAGCCCCAGAGGAAGCGCGGGCUAAGUUCGUGCCAGCAGCCGCGGUAAUACGAACUGCGCGAACGUUAUUCGGAAUCACUGGGCUUACAGGGUGCGUAGGCGGCGGGGAAAGUAGGGUGUGAAAUGCCUUGGCUCAACCAAGGCACGGCGCUCUAAACUUCCUCGCUCGAGUGAGUCAGGGGUACGCGGAACUUCCGGUGGAGCGGUGAAAUGUGUUGAUAUCGGAAGGAACACCGGUGGCGAAAGCGGCGUACUGGGGCUCAACUGACGCUGAGGCACGAAAGCCAGGGGAGCGAAC